UACGUAGGGUGCGAGCGUUGUCCGGAAUUACUGGGCGUAAAGAGCUCGUAGGUGGUUUGUCGCGUUGUUCGUGAAAACCGGGGGCUUAACCCUCGGCGUGCGGGCGAUACGGGCAGACUUGAGUACUGCAGGGGAGACUGGAAUUCCUGGUGUAGCGGUGAAAUGCGCAGAUAUCAGGAGGAACACCAAUGGCGAAGGCAGCUCGCUGGAACGGAACUGACGCUGAGGCGCGAAAGCGUGGGGAGCGAACAGG
rnacentral:rRNA from 1 species